AGGGCAAACCAUUCGAAAGAGUGGGACGCAAAGCCUCCGGCCUAAACCAGAAGACGUGGUAGGUAGCGGGGUUACCGAU
rnacentral:ncRNA from 1 species